rnacentral:lncRNA from 1 species
AAGUCUCCAUCUAGUAUAACAACAGGAUUUGGAAUUUAAACGAACCAUAGUAUAUAUUUAACAUUCAUUUGAGCAAAAAUCAGAACUGUUACUCAGCAUUUUUGUUUUGGGGAAUGUAUCAAGAUCAAAUUUACCUCAUCAUUAACACAUCUGUUUCGUUUCUGAAGGCUAAAAUGCGGAGUUCCUCUUGGUGGAUUCGUUUUUUCGACCAAAGUAGUUUAAAAGAAAACGAAACUGCCGUGAAGAAGUUUGAGCAGGCUACGUCAAAGAGUUCAUACCUGCCAGCAUGUCAAGUAUUCCACCUAAAUCCAUACCACUGAUACAAAGAGAAAGUCAUCAAGAUCAAAUUUCCAUUAUUUUUGUUGUCAUAUGCAUUGAAGGUGAAGUAAAAAUAUCUUCAGCUCUCAUACAACAUGUACUCUGUUGGGGAACUAAAUUUGGUAAAAGAGAUGUUGGUAUCAAUGGGUUAAUGCCCUUAACAUUACAGGUUUGAUAUUUAUUAAUUCAAUCGAUGGGGAAAAUUACACCUAUUUGUUGUAGACAUGCAUUUAUUUAGUUAUAUUGUUUUCUGAAUGUGGAAGUAAAUCUAGCUUCCCAUUAUGAGAUUACCCAUAUUUCUAUUUGUCUUCUCUUCAAACAACUUCUUGUAACAUGAAAUGAGACAAGGUAGUCUAAAUUUCCAAUCGGUAUUGUAGUUGGCACUCAUUGGCAUAUAUUAACUUUUAGAUUAUUUUAAGAUUGCUUUUAACUUUGAUUUCAAAAUGUUUUGCACAUGAUUCAUUGAUUUUUAUUUCUUCAUUUCAAGCUCAACAUGCCAUUGGGGCAACAAAAUUUAGCUAUCACUUUCAAGCCAGAAUGCAGAAAAUCGAUCAAAUCACAAUGGACUAAAAUCAAUGGGGGCAAACCGCAUGACCUACAAUUCCUACUAGUAUCCUAAAAACAAAUAACCCUUCAGUCACACCUACUUUAAGCACUAACUUGAACAAAAAAAUAUUUAGGUCUUGAUAGUAAUUGAUCUAUUCAAAAGUUUUUCUUUACGUCAUUGGAUUGUUAGUGAGUUCCAAACAACAAUUCAAUGAUCGAUGUAGUGGAUUAAUAUUCAUUGACGAGUAGAAUAUGCUUUAAAUUUAAAUCGAUCGGAUGGCUAGUUUCAAAGAUUGAAGAAAAAAAUUGGUUGGAUUUUGAUUCUCAAAUUCAUGACGUUUAAAGUUGUUUCAUAAAAAGAAAUUAAACUGUAGAAGAGAAGAGGAAUAAGAGUUUUCAAUUGGUGAAUGCGAUGCAAAUAGAGAAGACCAUACAACAAAAAUUUUAACAAUUCAAUGAUUUAAACAAAAAUUUUUAAAUAAUUUAAUAACUAUUUUAUAACUUUUUGAAGUAAAAUAACAAAAUGUAAUUUUACUUGUAAUGUAUUCUUAAAUCUAAUAGCCAUUAUUGAUAUUCGAUCUAUUGAUGCGACGUCGUAUCAUAUCACCGACGCGCUAAUAACUGUAUGUAUAUGUAUCACACAACUCCCAAAGGCGCGCUCAAACACGUUGGAUCUUAGCUUUAAGCAAAAACAAAUUUAAUUAAAAAAAAGACAGUGAAAAAUAAAAAUACUGAGUAUCCAAUCCAACCCAAAGUCCCUUUCAAACUCGACUAGCUGUUAAAUUCUCUUUUUUAGCCAAAAAUGGUGUAAAUUCAAACUAGUAUACUGUUCGAAGAAAAAAAAAAGCCAAAUAAGCUUCUUUUUUCCUUCACAGAUCUGAGAUCCAAAAUCCAAAUCUAAGGUGAACUUUUAAUUUUUAUUUCAUAAUUUCUUCCAUUUUAUGUUAGCUUUCUCAUGUUUUUGGAUUUGUUUUGUUUUUUCAAUGAAAAUGCUAAAAUUUUGUGUAAAUCUGUUGUUUGUUUGGUGCAGUGUAAGCAAUUACAUCUAAUAUAUUAUUAUAAGAGUAAAAAGCAAAGUAAAAAUGUCAAGGAGGCAAGUAAGUUCCACGCGCCGCUUUGUUGACAGCGGAAACUUCCCGUUCUCUGGUGCUUUACAUUCUAAAUCCCGAUCUUCUCCUAUUUUAUCUAUCGCUCUUGUCGUUGUGGUAAUAUCUUUAUCUUUUCCUUUCUUUUUUUGUGUUUUUUGAAUUUUUUCAAUUAAUGUUACAUUUUGAAAAGGAAAUUAACUGGGGUAAUAUUUUUGAAAAUGAUUUACAGGGAGCUAUCCUUCUCAUUGGCUAUGCCUAUAGUGGUUCAGGUAUUCUUCUUUUUUUAUUGGAAUUUCUUAUUUGUGUUUACUUGUUUUUGUUUGUUGAAUAUGCUGAUCUUGUUAGUUCAAUUAAUUGUUCACACUGUUUAUACUGUUCGUGAAUAUAGGUAAAUUCCGAGGUGAAGCAGUUAGUCGGAUCGAAGGUAAAUUAUUCUUUUACUUUCUUCCUCAUUGGAUUUAAUGUUCAUAAUGAAAUUAACUCGUUAAGUUACUGAUUUUUAUUUGAUUUUGAUGUCAUCGUGUCUCUUUUGAACUACUUGAAUAUUUAGUGGAUUCAUUAAUGCUUUGUUUGGUAGAGUAGAUAAAUUGGGAGGAUGAAUUCACAUCUUAUAUAAAAUUUAGUUAAGAUUCAAUUCACAUAUGUAUCCGAGAGCGUAUAUAUAAGAUAUUUUUAUUCAUUGGAGAGAAUAUUUUGGACAAAAAAAAAUAUUGAUCUUAGAGGCCUUACUUCUGCAUCUCAAGGUUAUGGAGCUUUCUUGCAUUUGAUACUUGUACUAUAGAAUAAUCUCUUACAAUUUGUCAUAAUCUUCUCCUUAAGUGCUUUCUAGACGGGUAAAAGUAUCAUGGAAGCCCCUAUACUAGAAGUCGGAUUGCAUUUUGGUCCCUAUACUCAAAAAAAGGGGCAAAUUAGUCCUUGUACGUUAAAUCAAAGAGCAAAUUGGUCCUUUUAUAAAAGAAUUCAUCUAUUUUUACCUUUAAAAACUAGUUCUUGUACGUCAGCAGGACGUACGCGUACAUGUCACUAUCUAGUUAUUCUUUUAGCCAUGUUGGUUUUUAACAAUACAAAGGGAUGAAAUUUUUAAAAGAAAAGACCAAUUUGCUCUUUGAUCUAAUAUACAGUGACUAAUUUGCCUAUUUUUUAGUAGAGGGAGCAAAAUGCAAUAUGACUCUUAGUAUAGGGGUUUCCAUGAUACUUUUAACUUUUUAGAGGAAGGAAAGUUGAAAGAUAAGGUGGGAUUUUAUUUAAUUUUGGCCCGAGGAAUAAAAGGGAUUAUCAGAGGUGGUUAUAUUAGUUAGAUAUGGUUUGCAUCUUCUGUGAUAACUGGAAGACUGAAAGUUAAUGAUUAUAAUGGAUUUGCCAUGCUCUGUUAAGGGUGUGUUUUCAUUGAGUGUAAUGUUCUGAAAAUCAAUUAUUUUCUUGUUAUCUUUGUAGGUGACUAUACAUGCAGUCUAGAAGUUCAGAGGGCAAUACCAUUUUUGAAGAAGGCAUAUGGGGACAGCAUGCACAAGGUUUUGCAUGUAGGACCUGAUACCUGUUCAGUUGUCUCUAAACUUUUGAAAGAAGAGGAUACUGAAGCCUGGGGUGUGGAACCAUAUGAUAUAGAGGAUGUUGAAGAAAGUUGCAAGAGUCUUGUGGGCAAAGGGAUUGUACGUGUGGCAGAUAUCAAGUACCCUCUUCCCUAUAAGCCAAAGUCUUUUUCUCUUGUUAUUGUGUCGGAUGCCCUUGAUUACUUGUCUCCAAAAUACCUGAACAAGACUCUGCUUGAGUUGGCCAGGGUUGCCUCUGAUGGUCUCAUUAUUUUUGCAGGUAAUCCCUUACUCUUUCAAGUUCUAUAUAAAUUAUAAAACAAGAGUUACUCAGGCCAAAAAUGCUUAUAUCCAGAUAUAUUUUCUUACAAAAAAGCUGUACCAUAACUAUAACAUGAUAUAUUUUCAUUUGUCGAUCAGGUACCCCUGGUCAUCAGAAGGCUAAAGUGGCAGAACUAUCGAAAUUCGGCCGGCCAGUAAGUCCCUAUAUGCUAAUUGAAAUCAACCAUAGUAUAUAUUUAACAUUCAUUUGAUAAAAAAUCAGAACUGUUACUCAGCAUUUUUGUUUUGGGGAAUGUAUCAAGAUCAAAUUUACCUUAUCAUUAACACAUCUGUUUCGUUUCUGAAGGCCAAAAUGCGGAGUUCCUCUUGGUGGAUUCGUUUUUUCGACCAAAUCAGUUUAAAAGAAAAUGAAACUGCCGUGAGGAAGUUUGAGCAGGCUGCAUCAAAGAGUUCAUACCUGCCAGCAUGUCAAGUAUUCCACCUAAAUCCAUACCACUGAUACAAAGAGAAAAGUCAUCAAGAUCAAAUUUCCAUUAUUUUUGUUGUCAUAUGCAUUGAAGGUGAAGUAAAAAUAUCUUCAGCUCUCAUACAACAUGUACUCUGUUGGGGAACUAAAUUUGGUAAAAGA